ACUCACAAUCAUCUACAAUUUAAUCUGGUGCUCUCUUCUGGCAUGUAGGCAAAACACUGUAUAUGUAAUAGAUAAAUCUAAAAAAAAAAAGAAAAAACAAAAACAACAAAAAAGUCCCCAAUAAGGGUUGGCAAGAUAGUUCAGUAGAAGCCGGGCGGUGGUGGUGCACGCCUUUAAUCCCAGCACUCGGGAUGCAGAGGCAGGCGGAUCUCUGUGAGUUUGAGGCCAACCUGGUCUACAAGAGUAAGUUCCAGGACAGCCUCCAAAGCCACAGAGAAACCCUGUCUCGAAAAAACAAAACAAAACAAAACAAAACAAAAACAAAAAAAAACCAAGAGUAAUGAUGACUGGAAUCUUCAGAAAUACAUGUACCUGCUAGUCAAGGACAUGGGACUCUUUGCUUUGUUUUUUGAGACUAUGUAGUCCUGUCUGGUCUGGAACUCACUUUGUAGACCAGGCUGGCCUUGAACUCAUAGAGAUCUGCCUGCUCCUGCCUCCCAAGUACCGGGAUUAGAUUACAAGUAUGGGCCACCACACCUCACCUCACUGGGAGGCAACCUGAAGGACCCAUCUGGUUCCCAUGGUAAUGCAUCCCUCAGGCUGGUUUUAGACUUCUUUUGUAGUCAUGAAUGACAUUGAACUUCUGACCCUCAGGCCUCCAGCUCCUAAGUACUGGGAUUACAGACAUGCACUGCCACACCUGGUUUAUGGGGUGCUGGGGGUGGAACCCAGGCUUCAUGCAUGUGAGGUGGUCACGCCACCACUGGAGCCACAGUCUCAACCUGGUUGGCUCUUUCUGGACUUCCCGCCUGUCCUAGGGAAGGCGGGCUGAGGUCAGUCCUGAACACUGACCCCUUCUAGAAACUACUCCUCAAAGAUAAGGGUAAGAGGUAGCCAUGCCCAGCCUUAGCUCUCCCCCUCACAGAGAUCCUCCUGCCUCUGCCUCCUAAGAGGUGAGAUCAAAGGCGUGCCUCACCACGCCUGCCUCUUGCUCUCUUUGGUUAUACUCCUAAACAAAACUGCCUGGAAUGUUGGUCCAGGGAUGGGACAUCGUGUAGGAUGUGAGCACCCAGCCUGCUCCCAGGGUGCCUUCCCCGCACUCUUCUGGGGGCCGCUGAUAGAGCUUAAAUGGCACUAAGGUUCCGACCCACCAGGCGCCCCAGCUGUCGGGUGACAUUCUAAAGAUCAAGCAAGUCUAGCUUUUCUCACACAUCAGCAGGGAUCCUGUCUUCAGGAACAGCCACUGAGAGCCCCCAUGAGGAACCCCCACAUGUUCUCCAAAUUCUCCUCCCACUGUCCUUGGCUCUAUCCCUGGGGCCACACUUGAAGUAGUCCUUGGGGGCCAGAGAGAUGGCUCAGAGGUUAAGAGCACUGGCUGUUCUUCCAAAGGUCCUGAGUUAAAUUCCCAACAACCACAUGGUGGCUCACAACCAUCUGUAGUGUGAUCUGGCGCCCUCUUCUGGACUGUAGGCAUACAUGCAGACAGAAUACUACAUGGAGGAGGAGGAGGAGGAGAAGAAGAAGGAAUAGGCUGAACACCACACACCUGCAUCUGCACACUUUUCUUAAGACCUUAGUCCCAAGUCACCCUCUCAUCUUUUAUACUCCAAAGAUGCCAGUGGGGGGGGGUCCCUUUUAUUCUACAAACCUCAGUGAAAAGAGAGUUAACUCAACACCCACAUUCUCGAUGAUUCUAGUUCUAGUAACAGGAACAAAGACCACACUAGCCAUGUAAACGUCAACAAGACUACACUCUUCUUUGAGACAAAGUCUCACUCUAAACCAGGUGUGGCGCACGCCUUUAAUCCCAGCAUUCCAGAGGCAGAGGCAGGCGGUCUCUGUGAGUUAGAGGCCAGAGUUUUCUAAAAUGUGAGUUUCCUGUCACAAAAAAAGAAAAUCUCACCCUGUAGCUUGGAGUGGCCCAGAACUCACCACCCCAGGCUAGAUUCAAACACAAGGUGAACCUGCUGCCUCCGCCACCCAAGUGCUAGGAUUAUGGGAAAGAGGCAGCGUGCCUGGCUUCUCCAGUGCUUUUGACAAGACCACUCUUGCUUGUAGGUGUUUCUAUGCCUCUUGGCCACAUUUCCUGUGCUUAGACUUGACCCCUGGUCGACCCCAGAAAUGCUACUGCUGCAUUAUUGCAAAGAUAGGGUCUCAUCAUGUAUUCAGUUUGGACUUUAUGUGUUGCUUAGGCCGGCCUUGAAUGCGGUUUUGUGGGGUUUGUUUGUUGAGACAACGCAGCCCAGCCAGCCUCAGACUCACUAUGCGUGGAGGAUGACCUUGAAUUCCUGAUCUCUCAGCCUCCAACUCCUAGGUGCUAGAUUACAGGUGUGACCCAACAUGCCUGCCUGGUUUAGGGGGUGCUAGGGGUCGAACCCAGGGCUUCCUGCAUAAAACACGAGCGCUCUUCCAACUCUGCUAUGCUCCCAGCCUCGAACUUCCGAUCUUCCUGCUUCUGCCUCCCGCGUUCUGAGUGGAGUCAUCAUUAUGCCCCUUCUCCCCGACGUUCCGCUCGCCAGUGUUCUCGCCCCACAUCCAGCAGCCAAACUGGCCACUGAAUGUCUCCCUGGUGGGGGACAGACGCCUGCAUUGCUAAUAGAGCCCUCCUCCGUCACCCAUCGAAGGGGUGGGUCACCAGCGGAGGCGGGAGAAGGUGCGCUGCCAUCCCGAUGAGCUGACAAGCCAUCCUGGAGGAGAAGGUGCGGCCCGGGGAGGCUGCGGGUGACAGUGGAGUGGUCAGCGUCACUUCUGGCCGGGCUGGGAAGUAAGGCUGAAAAGACUCCUUGGAAACCAGGCAGCCCCUCGGAGGAGGCUUCGGUUGGCCCUGCAGGGCGCUCCCAGGCCCUUCAGCUCAGUGUCCGCUGCCCACCCAGCCCAGAGAAGCGGGGCCUUACUCCUCAGCCGACCCUGCCCUCCGCUGUGGACAUCCUUCCCCUAGGACGUCAAACGCUGCCGUGGCUCCGGAAAGUUCUGUAGGCAAUCGUGGCGGCCUUCUCAGAGACGCUCCCGAGUGUCCGAGGAAACGACAACCCCAGAGGGACAGGAUGGGCCUCCCUCCCUGUGCACCUGGGCCCAGCCGCCUCUACCCCUCACCUCGGCCUCCUGCUCAGCCUCUUCCAGUUCAGCCUGCAGCCAGCCCAGCGCACAUUGGGGGCUCCAGCGACGCAUGCUCUCCUCUGGGACAGACCAGACAGGGACUCUGACUCCCACUGACCGCAGGUGACUACAGUUCCCGCCUCGGUGGCCUCCAAAUCCUCAACUGGCCUUGUUGUUUCGUUUGAGACAGGGUCUCUUACAGCCUCGAUCCUUGAACUCUGGGCUGUGUAGCCCAGGCUAGCCUCGAACCCCUGCUCCUCCUGUCUCUAGCCCUUAAAGUGCUGCGAUUAUAGGCACGCACAAACAAGUUUGGCUUAUCUUCUGUGCUUGUUUUUAUACUGUGGUUUCUUUUUCUCUUUAACAAGAUUUUAUUUGUAAUUACGAGUAUAUGUUUGUGUAUGAGUACACGCUCUUGACUGAGUUCAGGUCCCUGAAGAGGCCAGAGGUUGUCAGGUCCCCCUACCCCCAGGAUCUGGAGUCUGUGAGCUGUCCAAGUUGGGUGCUGGGAAUCAAACUCCAGUCCUUUCCAACCCCUGAGCCAUCUCCCCGGCCAUCACCAUCAUCAUCAUUUGAGAAAGGUUUCGUGUGUAGCCCAGGCUAGCCUGCCAAGCAUGGUACUCCCCAGUCUCCUGAGUGCAGGGUAGUAAUCGUGCACCACCAUGGUUUGCUCAGUUUCUUCAAUAACAUGGUCACUACUGAGUGUUUGUGGACAGAUACCCCCUCACUACCACACCAAGGCUACCACCGCCCGACCCAGCAGUUAGGUCAGACAUGAGGCAGCCCUGUAACCUGGAAUAAAAUAAAAUAAAAUAAAAUAAAGCUGAGACUGACCACAGGGGCAGUCCGGGCUUCAAGUUUA